rnacentral:rRNA from 1 species
CGCCCGCUCAGAAACUCAAAGGAAUUGACGGGGGCCCGCACAAGCGGUGGAGCAUGUGGUUUAAUUCGAUGAUACGCGAGGAACCUUACCUGGGCUCAAAUGUAUGUUGACGUAUUCUGAAAGGGAUACUUCUUCGGACAAUAUACAAGGUGCUGCAUGGUUGUCGUCAGCUCGUGCCGUGAGGUGUCGGGUUAAGUCCCCAUAACGAGCGCAACCCCUAUCAUUAGUUGCCAUCAGGUCAAGCUGGGGACUCUAAUGAAACUGCCUACGCAAGUAGUGAGGAAGGUGGGGAUGACGUCAAAUCAGCACGGCCCUUACGUCCAGGGCUACACACGUGCUACAAUGGCCGAUACAGAGGGCAGCUACCUGGUGACAGGAUGCAAAUCUCCAAAGUCGGUCUCAGUUCGGAUCGGAGUCUGCAACCCGACUCCGUGAAGUUGGAUUCGCUAGUAAUCGCGCAUCAGCCAUGGCGCGGUGAAUACGUUCCCGGGCCUU